UGCCAUUCUCACCUCUCCACCAUGCCUCCCUCAUGCCACAACUAGGGAUACAGGCCUGCUGGUAACACCACAACAAACUCCGACAGCUAGAUAUAGGGGACUCAGAAUACAGAGUGGCACAUAUCAGAGACUGCAUUUAGUAAAAGCGUUGUUUGGUGAUACAUCUGAUUCAGUGAUCAGGUUCUAAAGCCCUUGAAAAAUACUCCGUCUUAAACUGAAGAAGUCAACAAGAAAAUUAAAAGCAAAGUUGGACCAGCUAGAAGAAGAGUUGAUAGCUGGUGGAAGUGAAGCCUUUGGAAGCUCAGCCCAGCACGACAGGAGAGGAAGUGCACACGGCAGCCAACUAGCCACCGGAGCUCAGCGACGUGUAAAUCCCCACCUCGAACGCCGUGAAUUAAAGCAGAUGAAAGUUUUAAAAUGUCAGG